UACGUAGGGUGCGAGCGUUGUCCGGAAUUAUUGGGCGUAAAGAGCUCGUAGGCGGCUUGUCGCGUCGGUUGUGAAAGCCCGGGGCUUAACUCCGGGUCUGCAGUCGAUACGGGCAGGCUAGAGUGUGGUAGGGGAGAUCGGAAUUCCUGGUGUAGCGGUGAAAUGCGCAGAUAUCAGGAGGAACACCGGUGGCGAAGGCGGGUCUCUGGGCCGUAACUGACGCUGAGACACGAAAGCGUGGGUAGCAAACAGG
rnacentral:rRNA from 1 species